GGCCGACUAGCAGCUGGUUAUAGCGUCGUGCUAAUAUAAUAUGGGUGUCCUCGAUUUACCGCGAAGGUCUUGGGUUCAAUCCCCACGCUGGCCA